AUUGAACGCUGGCGGCAGGCCUAACACAUGCAAGUCGAGCGGAGCGGCGGUCGGGUGAGUAAUGCCUAGGAAUCUGCCUGGUCGUGGGGGAAAGCGCCCGGAAACGGGCGCAAAUAAUGCAUACUAACAGAUGAGCCUAGGUCGGGUUCGCUAGUUGGUGGGGUAAAGGCCUACCAAGGCUACGAUCAGUAACUGGUCUGAGAGGCUGAUCAGUCACACUGGAACUGAGACACGGUCCAGACUCCUACGGGAGGCAGCAGUGGGGAAUAUUGGACAAUGGGCGAAAGCCUGAUCCAGCCAUGCCGCGUGUGUGAAGAAGGUCUUCGGAUUGUAAAGCACUUUAAGUUGGGAGGCGUUACCAACAGAAUAAGCACCGGCUAACUUCGUGCCAGCAGCCGCGGUAAUUC
rnacentral:rRNA from 1 species